UGGGGAAUUUUGGACAAUGGGCGCAAGCCUGAUCCAGCCAUGCCGCGUGCAGGAUGAAGGCCUUCGGGUUGUAAACUGCUUUUGUACGGAACGAAACGGCCUUUUCUAAUAAAGAGGGCUAAUGACGGUACCGUAAGAAUAAGCACCGGCUAACUACGAGCCAG
rnacentral:rRNA from 1 species